UAGGGAAUCUUCGGAAAUGGACGAAAGUCUGACCGAGCAACGCCGCGUGAGUGAGGAAGGUCUUCGGAUCGUAAAGCUCUGUUGCCAGGGAAGAACAGCCUGGGGAGGGAAUGCCCUAGGCUUGACGGUACCUGAGAAGAAAGCCCCGGCUAACUACGUG
rnacentral:rRNA from 1 species